GACAGAGGGUGCAAACGUUGCUCGGAAUCACUGGGCGUAAAGGGCGUGUAGGCGGGAAGGAAAGUCGGGACGUGAAAUCCCUGGGCUCAACCCACGGAACUGCACUCGAAACUUCUUUUCUUGAGUGCCGGAGAGGAAAGCGGAAUACCUGGUGUAGAGGUGAAAUUCGUAGAUAUCAGGUGGAACACCAGUGGCGAAGGCGGCUUUCUGGACGGUAACUGACGCUGAGACGCGAAAGCGUGGGGAGCAAACAGG
rnacentral:rRNA from 1 species